rnacentral:tRNA from 1 species
GGCGAGAUAGAAUAAUGGUAGUUCGUGGGGCUCAUGCCCCCAAGGCGGAGGUUCAACCCCUCCUAUCGCUU